GAUCUCCCUCCCUUCUCUUCCCUCUCCCUCCGCUCCGCACGGGACCCGGACGGAUUUACUUGGGGGCUGUGGCGCCAGCCGUCUAUACUUAUACAGGGACCGCGCUGGUCAUAACAUAAACUGAGGUAACCCCCGGCUCCUCGGGCACAUGUCUUCUGGCGCGCUGCCGUUGCCGUGACAGCGUCCUAGCAGCCGCCGGGAGAGGAAGGAGCCCGGUCCUCAUGGUGUAACUGCUCUCCUGGGCCUGGCGGAUUACCUGAUCAGCGGGGGCACCUGCUGUGUAGUAGAUGAUCGUCUUUCAGCGCAGCAGCUCAUCUGGGCCGGAGAUGAACUCACUAGCAACGUACAGCAGGGAGAGAAGUCCUAGGAGCAGCAGCAUAGCGUUGAGCGAUGGCACGUGCUACUACAUGCAGCUGGCCACCCACAAGCACCUGGUCUGCAGCCUGCCUGAGCCCCUGGUCCUGAGGAGGAGUCCUGCCACGCAGUCCGGGAUUCCAGCAGCAGCACACAGCCGGCAUCAACACUACAGGGAGAGUGCUGCCCCCCUGGCCAGGGUGAAGUCACUCGCAGUAAAUCUCCCACGUGUGUAUCUGUAAGACCAGAUCGAUGUUUUGAUUCCAAUUGUUUCAGUGUUGAAAAGAAAGACUUCCAAAGAACGGAUCUCCUCGACAAUAACUGGAGGACACAGUGGUGCGGCGUGGUCGCAUGUGAUCUGACCAUGCCAGUUAAGUGGUUACUAAACAUAUAAAGUAUAUCAUUAGCAUUUGUCAUAUAUUAUAAUUUAUAUAUCAUAUAUUGUUAUAAAGGAUUACUAAAUGAUUUAUAGUUGAUGAAUAAUUUAAAUGAUGUAAUUCUUCUAUGUUUCAGAGAUUUUUUU